CAAGCACACAGCUUAAGGGCCCAGUUACAAAGUUUUCUGGGUUUUAAGCCCUCCUUUGGAGAUUCCUAUCAGUUACCCCUGAUCUGGAUGAAGGAUUUGGUCCGUGGCUAAUUACAGGCUGGGGUGAAUUAGAGCCCUAGGCAGAUGAAGGCAUGGCCCCUGCUCGGCCCGCGGCCAAUCCAGGGCACUCUCCCUUUCCAUCUGAGCUGUGGUGGAAGCCGGAGGGCUGUAGGGAGAGUGGCCUUUGAUCCUUUGUUACUGGGCGUGGGGAGCUGGGGUUUUCUCUUUUGGUUUAGCUUUAGGAAGUUGGCAUUAAUUGUUCUUUGGUUCCCUGCCCCAGACACAGGUGCUCCCCUUUUGGUCCAGCUUUGGGAAAUUAUCGUGAAUUGGCCUCAGAGUCCUGCCCCCAGACCUUGGUGUUUUCCCUUGAUUCAGCUUUAGGAAGUCGGCAUGAAUUGGGCUUAAGUUCCCUGCCUCCAGACCCUAUUCUCCUGCCUCAGCGGUAAGGAGACUUCUAUGGCGAUGUGCUUCCACCAGAACACAAAAACGGGAGCUGCUGGAGUCUCCUUAAUGCCUGGUCUUGGCUGCCCCCGGAAUGUCACCUCUGCCUCAUUCUACUAUCAAGGUGGUUGCAGGGACAGCCCAGGUUCAAAGGAAGGAGAAGUAGACUCCCCCUCUUUUGACUGGCAAGGGGACAUUGCAAAAAAUCCUGUCGUUUGGGGGGGAUUGUUGUAGUCAUCUUUGGAAACACAAUCUGCAACUUUGAUGUUCAUCAAAGAAAUCUGCUUGAGCUGUGAGCUCAACUGGUAUUCGACUUAAGAAAUCCACAAAAUCGGUUCUGAACUGCAUUUUCAUCUCAGCGUUUGGCCACGGGCAAUGAGAGCUUCAUUCAGAAGAGUCACAAAAUCGUUCUGACUAAGACCAUUUUGUCUAGAUCAGUAAUUUGGGGAUUUGCCUGUCUCAGUGCCAUCAGAAGCAACCACCUAACCCAGAAAUGCUAACAUUCCUCUUCUUUCAGCAGUCACUGACUACCUACAUCCCUCAGCUCCCUCCCCAUCUCACAUCACCCUCAGGGGCCUCUGAGCACAGCAUCACCGAGGGGGCCACAGCAGCAGAACCUCCUACCCAGAUCUCUGUAGGCACUGCCAUCAUGUGACUAAACUCCCCUCUCAACCACAACCUCCAGCUACAGGGCUCUCAUCCAAGUCAAAAAUCCAAAGACAGGCGUCUGGCUGGCUGCAGGAGUCCAGAGCCAUGAGUGUCCCUAAAUUAGUCAACCAUGGCUGGGAGACAGAGCCAUGCAAUCCAGACCCAGCUCUUCUGCUCACUGGGGCCGUUCCCGGAGAAGGAGAAACCACGCUGGAGCGGGCACUCCCACGAGUUGUCGGGGAACAAGAACUCGGAUCCUGGCGGGAGAGAGCGAACAGUACACCCGAGCGGCGGCUGUCACCCGCUUUGAAACACGGGUGCCCUGGAGUCUUAGCUAUGAAUCUUCCAAAACCAGCAGUUCGCAGAGCGGUGGAGGCUGAGGCUGUGGCAGAAUCACCUAGACCUCCUGGAGUAGAGGACACAGGGCAGUGAAGACCUAACCCUGAGCUCUGGAUGGAGUGAGAGACAAAAGCAGAAAUUGUUGCAGACAUUUCAGAGAUAACAUGCCCAAUUUUCAUGCAGUCUUACUUAUUUUUAUGUGGGAGACAUAGUGCACAUGUAAUCUCUCUUUGUUUGGUAAUUGGAUGUGACCGAAGGAUAUAUAUGACAAGAUUUAAGAAAGAGACUGAGAAAGAAGAUGGAGAAAUUUUGAAAGGGAUGAAGAAUAACUUGGACACUUGACAAUUUGGCCUGCAACAGCACUGGCCAUGCCAUGUAGAUUGUUAGC